rnacentral:rRNA from 1 species
GAUGAACGCUGGCGGCGUGCCUAAUACAUGCAAGUCGAGCGAAUGGAUUAAGAGCUUGCUCUUAUGAAGUUAGCGGCGGACGGGUGAGUAACACGUGGGUAACCUGCCCAUAAGACUGGGAUAACUCCGGGAAACCGGGGCUAAUACCGGAUAACAUUUUGAACCGCAUGGUUCGAAAUUGAAAGGCGGCUUCGGCUGUCACUUAUGGAUGGACCCGCGUCGCAUUAGCUAGUUGGUGAGGUAACGGCUCACCAAGCCAACGAUGCGUAGCCGACCUGGGAGGAUGAUCGGCCACACUGGGACGGAGACACGGCCCAGACUCCUACGGGAGGCAGCAGUAGGGAAUCUUCCGCAAUGGACGAAAGUCUGACGGAGCAACGCCGCGUGAGUGAUGAAGGCUUUCGGGUCGUAAAACUCUGUUGUUAGGGAAGAACAAGUGCUAGUUGAAUAAGCUGGCACCUUGACGGUACCUAACCAGAAAGCCACGGCUAACUACGUGCCAGCCGCCGCCGUAA